rnacentral:tRNA from 1 species
GGAUGGGUGGCCGAGUGGUCGAAGGCAGCAGUCUUGAAAACUGCCGUAGGGGUAACUCUACCGUGGGUUCGAAUCCCACUCCAUCCGC